UGAGGAAUAUUGGUCAAUGGGCGAGAGCCUGAACCAGCCAAGUCGCGUGAAGGAAGACUGCCUUAUGGGUUGUAAACUUCUUUUAUACAGGAAUAAAAAGGCUUACGUGUAGGCCAUUGCAAGUACUGUAUGAAUAAGCAUCGGCUAACUCCGUGCCAGCAGCCGCGGUAAUACGGAGGAUGCGAGCGUUAUCCGGAUUUAUUGGGUUUAAAGGGUGCGCAGGCGGGCUUUUAAGUCAGCGGUGAAAUCUGGACGCUUAACGUCCAAACUGCCGUUGAAACUGGGAGUCUUGAGUAUGGAUGAAGUAGGCGGAAUUCGUUGUGUAGCGGUGACAUGCAUAGAUAUAACGAGGAACUCCGAUUGCGUAGGCAGCUUACUAAGCCAUAACUGACGCUCAUGUACGAAAGCGUGGGGAUCAAACAGGAUUAGAUACCCUGGUAGUCCACGCCCUAAACGAUGUCAACUAGUUGUUGGGGAUUCAUUUCCUUAGUAACGUAGCUAACGCGUGAAGUUGACCGCCUGGGGAGUACGGUCGCAAGAUUAAAACUC
rnacentral:rRNA from 1 species